AGGGUUUGAUUCUGGCUCAGGAUGAACGCUGGCGGCGUGCCUAACACAUGCAAGUCGAACGAAGCAUUUUAGAUGAAGUUUUCGGAUGGAUUCUGAGAUGACUGAGUGGCGGACGGGUGAGUAACACGUGGAUAACCUGCCUCACACUGGGGGACAACAGUUAGAAAUGACUGCUAAUACCGCAUAAGCGCACAGUACCGCAUGGUACGGUGUGAAAAACUCCGGUGGUGUGAGAUGGAUCCGCGUCUGAUUAGCCAGUUGGCGGGGUAACGGCCCACCAAAGCGACGAUCAGUAGCCGACCUGAGAGGGUGACCGGCCACAUUGGGACUGAGACACGGCCCAA
rnacentral:rRNA from 1 species